rnacentral:rRNA from 1 species
AUUGAACGCCGGCGGAAUGCUUUACACAUGCAAGUCGAACGGCAGCACGGGGGCAACCCUGGUGGCGAGUGGCGAACGGGUGAGUAAUACAUCGGAACGUGCCCAGUCGUGGGGGAUAACGUAGCGAAAGUUACGCUAAUACCGCAUACGAUCUACGGAUGAAAGCGGGGGACCGUAAGGCCUCGCGCGAUUGGAGCGGCCGAUGUUAGAUUAGGUAGUUGGUGAGGUAAAGGCUCACCAAGCCGACGAUCUGUAGCUGGUCUGAGAGGACGACCAGCCACACUGGGACUGAGACACGGCCCAGACUCCUACGGGAGGCAGCAGUGGGGAAUUUUGGACAAUGGGCGCAAGCCUGAUCCAGCCAUUCCGCGUGCAGGACGAAGGCCUUCGGGUUGUAAACUGCUUUUGUACGGAACGAAAAGGCUCUGGUUAAUACCCGGGGCUCAUGACGGUACCGUAAGAAUAAGCACCGGCUAACUACGUGCCAGCCGCCGUAAAAC